CAGUAAGCUGGCCAAUAGAACAGACCCUUGUGGUCCCUGUUACCUCCCGACUGCUUCCCAGGGGUUCAUGAUGGAGAGUAGAAGGAAGUAAAGGAAGACAGUGGGGUGCCUCCCCACCCCCAGCUAUGCAAGGUUUGCUGCACUAGAGCCCUGUCCCACCCAGGGCAGGCUGUCAUUACCCUUAAACUAGAUACUGGUGUCCUGUCAGGAUUUUGAUGCUCUUUCCCUGGCUCUCCCGGUGUAGAUUUGUGACACAAACUACGUCCAGUACCCAAACUACUGUUCCUUCAAAAGCCAACAGUGCCUGUUGAAAAACCAGAACAGAAAGAUGUCCCGCAUGAAGUGCAUGCUGAACGAGAAGUACCACGUGCUGAGCCCGGCUAAAGGCGAGGAGGUUAUACUCCGGUGGAGCCAAGAGUUUAACACUUUGACUCUAGGCCAGUUUGGAUGAGCUGAGGUCUGUGCUGUCCCCACCCCAGCCCAGCCUUUCCACAUUCUCCAUCGCUCUCAGACUACAUCUGUCAGUUGGCUUCCAGGUGCCUCUCAGGGGCCUCCCACCUGGCCCCUACGUGCAUUUUCUUUGGGUUGGAAGAACAGUCCCAGAGAGGUGCAUGAUGGGAACUCCGCACGCCUUGAAGAAUACCUUCAAAUAAAAUGUUUGUCUUCA
rnacentral:lncRNA from 1 species